rnacentral:rRNA from 1 species
UACGUAGGGUGCAAGCGUUGUCCGGAAUUAUUGGGCGUAAAGAGCUCGUAGGCGGUUUGUCGCGUCGAAUGUGAAAACCCGGGGCUCAACCCCGGGCCUGCAUUCGAUACGGGCAGACUAGAGUUCGGUAGGGGAGUCUGGAAUUCCUGGCGUAGCGGUGAAAUGCGCAGAUAUCAGGAGGAACACCGGUGGCGAAGGCGGGACUCUGGGCCGAUACUGACGCUGAGGAGCGAAAGCGUGGGGAGCAAACAGG